GGGAUAUGAUGAGUAAACCUUUUGGUCCGUGUUUCUGAAUUAACCGUGACUGAUAACAUUUUAGCACUCUCUGAUCUC